AUUGAACGCUGGCGGCAUGCCUUACACAUGCAAGUCGAACGGCAGCACGGGUGCUUGCACCUGGUGGCGAGUGGCGAACGGGUGAGUAAUAUAUCGGAACGUACCUUAUUGUGGGGGAUAACGCAGCGAAAGCUGUGCUAAUACCGCAUAAUCCCUAAGGGGGAAAGCGGGGGACCGUAAGGCCUCGCGCAAUUAGAGCGGCCGAUACCUGAUUAGCUAGUUGGUGAGGUAAAGGCUCACCAAGGCAACGAUCAGUAGCUGGUCUGAGAGGACGAUCAGCCACACCGGGACUGAGAGACGGCCCAGACUCCUACGGGAGGCAGCAGUGGGGAAUUUUGGACAAUGGGGGCAACCCUGAUCCAGCAAUGCCGCGUGAGUGAAGAAGGCCUUCGGGUUGUAAAGCUCUUUUGUCAGGGAAGAAACAGCAGCUCUAACACAGUCUGCGAAUGACGGUACCUGUAGAAUAAGCACCGGCUAACUACGUGCCAGCCGCCGCAGUAAUAC
rnacentral:rRNA from 1 species